ACCAGACUCCUACGGGAGGCAGCAGUGAGGAAUGUUGGUCAAUGGGCGGAAGCCUGAACCAGCCAAGUCGCGUGAGGGAAGAAGGCCCUGCGGGUCGCAGACCUCUUUGGACGGGGAGCAAGGCCGCCGACGUGUCGGCGGAAGGAGAGUACCCGUAGAACAAGCAUCGGCUAACUCCGUGCCAGCAGCCGCGGUAAUACGGAGGAUGCGAGCGUUAUCCGGAUUUAUUGGGUUUAAAGGGUGCGUAGGCGGUAUUUUAAGUUAGUGGUAAAACGUCGGGGCUUCACCUUGAUUGGCCAUUAAAACUGGAGUACUAGAGUACAGACGAGGUAGGCGGAAUAAGUUAAGUAGCGGUGAAAUGCAUAGAUAUCACGCAGAACUCCGAUUGCGAAGGCAGCAUACCGGCGCCCAACUGACGCUGAAGCACGAAAGCGUGGGUAUCGAACAGGAUUAGAUACCCUGGUAU
rnacentral:rRNA from 1 species